rnacentral:ncRNA from 2 species
AUAAUAAUUAUAGCGCCCGGACUUGGCUUGAGGCCGAGUUGACGAGGAAGAGGUUCAUCGAGCAGAAUCGGCGGAUGCCUCUAGGCGGAGUUAGCUGCCUAAAUUAACUUCUUAAAACCUAUAGGUAACUAUAGGGUUAAAAAGAAGUUAAACUAACAAU